rnacentral:rRNA from 1 species
GAUCUGUUUUAUCCACUUGGAUAACUGUGGUAAUUCUAGAGCUAAUACACGCAACUAAACUCCGACCUUACGGAAGGAGUGCAUUUAUUAGAACAAAACCAAUCGACUUCGGUCGUUACUUGGUGAAUCUGAAUAACUCUGCUGAUCGCAUGGUCUUAGUACCGGCGACGUAUCUUUCAAGUGUCUGCCUUAUCAACUUUCGAUGGUAGUUUAUACGACUACCAUGGUUGUAACGGGUAACGGAAAAUUAGGGUUCGACUCCAGAGAGGGAGCCCGAGAAAUGGCUACCACAUCCAAGGAAGGCAGCAGGCGCGCAAAUUACCCACUCUCGGCACGAGGAGGCAGUGACGAAAAAUAACGAGAUGGUUCUCUCAGAGGUCCAUCAUCGGAAUGGGUCCAAUUUAAAUCCUUUAGCGAGGAUCCAUUGGAGGGCAAGUCUGGUGCCAGCAGCCGCGGUAAUUCCAGCUCCAAUAGCGUAUAUUAAAGUUGUUGCGGUUAAAAAGCUCGUAGUUGGAUCUGCGGUCUCGGACGCUAGUCCCCCACUGGGUGCGUACUAG